AACGAACGCUGGCGGCAUGCCUAACACAUGCAAGUCGAACGAGACCUUCGGGUCUAGUGGCGCACGGGUGCGUAACGCGUGGGAACCUGCCCUUAGGUUCGGAAUAACUCCCCGAAAGGGGUGCUAAUACCGGAUAAUGUCUUCGGACCAAAGAUUUAUCGCCUUUGGGUGGGCCCGCGUUGGAUUAGCUGGUUGGUAGGGUAAAAGCCUACCAAGGCGGCGAUCCAUAGCUGGUCAGAGAGGCUGGUCCGCCACUCUGGGGGUGGGACACGGCCCAGACUCCUACGGAAGGCGGCAGUGCGUGAUAUUGCACCAUCGGGGAAGGCAUGAUGGAGCUAUGCUGGGUGAGCGAUGAAGGCCGGAGAGUUGUAAAGCUCUUUUACCCGGGAUGAUAAUGACGGUACCGAAAGAAUAAGCUCCGGCUAACUCCGUG
rnacentral:rRNA from 1 species